AUGAUAACGUUGAGAGUAGUUUCCACCACUUGUACUUUGGCAUGUCGACAUUUGCACAUAAAAGAAAAAGGCAAGCCAUUUAUGCUGAAUCCAAGAACAAACAAGGGAAUGGCAUUUACUUUACAAGAACGACACAUGCUUGGUCUUCAAGGGCUUCUAUCUCCCAAAAUACAGACGCAAGAUAUUCAAGCCUUAGGAUUCCACAGAAACUUGAAAAAAAUGACUAGCCCUUUGGAAACAUAUAUCUACAUAAUGGAAAUACAAGAAAGAAAUGAGAAAUUGUUUUAUCGAAUACUUCAAGAUGACACUGAGAGUUUAAUGCCAAUUGUAUAUACACCAACAGUUGGUCUUGUCUGCUCCCAGUAUGGACACAUCUUUAGAAGACCUAAGGGAUUAUUUAUGUCGAUCUCAGACAGAGGUCAUAUUAGAUCAAUUGUGGAUAAGUGGCCAGAAAAUCAUGUUAAGAUUGUUUUAGUGACUGAUGGAGAGAGAAUUCUGGGUCUUGGAGAGCUGGGUGUCUAUGAAAUGGGAAUUCCAGUAGGAAAAAUGUGUUUGUAUACAGUUUGUGCCUGAAUAUGGCCUGAUAGAUGCCUACCGGUGUGUAUUGAUGUGGGAACUGAUAAUAUCGCACUCUUAAAAGACACAUUUUACAUAGGCUUGUACCAGAAACAAGAUCUCACACAACAACAGUAUGAUGACCUGAUUGAUGAGUUUAUGGAAGCUAUUACUGACAGAUAUGGCUGGAACACACUCAUUCAAUUUGAAGAUUUUGGAAAUCAUAAUGCAUUCAGGUUCUUGAAAAAACAUCAGUAAAAAUACUGCACUUUCAAUGAUGAUAUUCAAGGGACAGCUGCAGUAGCUCUAGCAGAUCUUCUUGCAACACAAAAAGUUAUUAAUAAACCAGUCUCCGAACGCAAAAUCUUAUUCCUUGGAACAGGAGAGACUACUCCUGGAAUUGCAAAUCUUAAAAAAGUAUGUCUAUGGUAGAAAAUGGCCUGUCAGAAGAAGAGAUACAAAAGAAAAUCUGGAUGUUUGACAAGUAUGGUUUAUUAGUUAAGGGGCGGAAAGCAAAAAUAGAUAGUUAUCAGGAACCAUUUACUUACCCAGUCCCAGAGAGCAUACCUGAUACUUUUGAAGAUGUGGUGAAUACAAUGAGGACUUCAACUACAAUUGGAGUUGCAGGUGCUGGCCAUCUUUUCACUCCUGAUGUAAUCAGGGCCAUGACCCCUAUCAAUGAAAGGCCUGUAAUAUUUGCAUUAAGUAAUCCUACAGCACAGGCAGAGUGCACGGCCAAAGAAGCAUAUACACUUACAGAGGGCAAGUGUUUGUUUGCCAGUGGCAGUCCAUUUGGGCCAGUGAAACUCACAGAUGGGAGAAUCUUUACACCAGAUCAAGGAAACAAUGUAUAUAUUUUUCCAGGUGCGUCUUUAGCUGUUAUUCUCUGUAACACCCAGCAUAUUAGUGACAAUGUUUUCCUAGAAGCUGCAAAGGCAUUGACAAGCCAAAUGACGGAUGAAAAGUUAGCCCAAGGGAGACUUUACCCACCACUUGCUAAUAUUCAGAAAGUUUCUAUUAACAUUGCUAUUAAAGUUACAGAAUACCUAUAUGCUAACAAAAUGGCUUUCCAAUACCCAGAACCUGAAGAUAAGGCCAAAUAUGUUAAAGAAAGAAUAUGACGGAGUGAAUAUGAUUCCCUGCUGCCAGAUGUGUAUGAAUGGCCGGAACCUGCUUCAAGCCCUCCUGUGAUAACAGAAUAGAAGCACUCCCCUGACAAAUACUUCCUGUACUGCGGGGAACCCCUGUUUUUCAGACAAGAAG